AAACUAUGUUGUAUCAGUAGCUUUGCUAAAGAGGUUGAAGAACCCAAACAAGUGACUAAACUGUUUCCAGGUCAUGUUGACACUUAAUCCAAGUUCAUCUUGAGCUAAUAAAAAUUCGUGCUCCAGCCCACAAGAGCUUUCAAUAAGCUUUAAAGCAUGCAACAAAGCAAAAAUAUCAUUAGCCAAGCUCUGAUUGCACAAAGUGGAUAGGUUUAAAAGUAAAUAUCAACCAUGCUUCCAGUUGAACAUCAUUAACAAGCCCAACCUAGCAACGCCAUCAUAU
rnacentral:misc_RNA from 1 species